UGUGUGAUGAUGAUUGAUUGUGGUAAAUAAAAGGCAAUUUUGUUCUAUGUGACACGUGGAUAGUGGAGGGAAGGAGUGAACCUUUUGAAACACUUGAGUGAUUGAGUGAAACACCUUGUUUGGUGAGGAAUGAUUCCAUGAAUUCAUUAUUUCAUCUGUGCUAGUUGAUUGGUCAUUCAUAAGAAUAACAUCUGUCUGAGAUUAUGUGAAUUUGGGAACACUGUGAUAAGUUGAUAUGGAGCAUGUGUG
rnacentral:lncRNA from 1 species